GAAGAGGGGACCUUUAAACGAGCACUUCCCUUUUUGCUUGGAAGAAUGGAGAGCAUUGGAUCUAGUGCCAGAUGAGUGGUUACUUGUCUCGCCAGGAGAAUGGACAUCUGCUUUCGGAAAAUCAGAGCCAGCUGUAGCCUACCAGGGAUCACUCGGAGACACAUAGGCGCUACCGGAGCAAUGACUAACUUUGCCUCUUAAUGGGGUCGUGGGAGAGAAAAACUUUAAGAAGAGAAGACUGGUGCACAAUCCCAAGCUUGCGGAAGCAGUACGCCGUCUUCACAACUCGGAGACAAAUUGCAGGCGCUACGAACCGGAGCAAGGACUAAUCUCGCCUCAUAAUGAGGCGGUGACCUCCUAUUUGCUCGGAGCAAUAUCUGCAAGUCCAGAUUUACACGAUGUUGAUAAAGAUGACAUUGUGUCUGCCUGUAAGACAUGUUAUGAGACGGUACGCAGGAGCUUUAGAUAUACCCAGCCAGAAAACUCAUUGCGGGUAGAAGCUGCGAAGAGUUCAGCUCGGAGUCGAGCGAGAAGAAAGAGGCUGCUGGAAUCGAGACAGAGUGUGCUAGCAGAUGACGAGGUGGAACUCUGGAAGUCCGCCACCGUAGACCUCAUGUCUGACGAAGAAGAUGGCGUUGUUGGCGGGGUCU